CCUACGGGAGGCAGCAGUGGGGAAUAUUGGACAAUGGGGGAACCCUGAUCCAGCCAUGCCGCGUGUGUGAAGAAGGCCCUCGGGUUGUAAAGCACUUUCAGUGAGGAAGAACGCCUGGUGGUUAAUACCCAUCAGGAAAGACAUCACUCACAGAAGAAGCACCGGCUAACUCCGUGCCAGCAGCCGCGGUAAUACGGAGGGUGCGAGCGUUAAUCGGAAUUACUGGGCGUAAAGCGCGCGUAGGUGGCUUGAUAAGCCGGUUGUGAAAGCCCCGGGCUCAACCUGGGAACGGCAUCCGGAACUGUCAAGCUAGAGUGCAGGAGAGGAUGGUAGAAUUCCCGGUGUAGCGGUGAAAUGCGUAGAGAUCGGGAGGAAUACCAGUGGCGAAGGCGGCCUUCUGGACUGACACUGACACUGAGGUGCGAAAGCGUGGGUAGCAAACAGGAUUAGAUACCCCAGUAGUC
rnacentral:rRNA from 1 species